UACGAAGGGGGCGAGCGUUGUUCGGAAUUACUGGGCGUAAAGGGCGCGUAGGCGGCCGAUCAAGUUAGAUGUGAAAGUCCUGGGCUUAACCUGGGGACUGCAUUUGAUACUGAUUGGCUUGAAUUCGGGAGAGGAUAGCGGAAUUCCCAGUGUAGAGGUGAAAUUCGUAGAUAUCGUGAGGAACACCAGAGGCGAAGGCGGCUACCUGGACAAUUGCUGACGCUCAGGCACGAAAGCGUGGGGAGCAAAAGGG
rnacentral:rRNA from 1 species